GCUCGCACGGGGCUGGGGCUGGAGCUUUCGGGCCCGGCUGAGGAAGGCUGGGCCGUCGCCAUCGUCCCGCUGUGGGCGUCCCCUCAGUGCGUCGCUGGGCCCACACGCCUCGGUCCUGUGCUUGGUCUUCCAGGGCAGGCUUUGUGUGCUUGCAGGACCUGACCUCAGGGAAGCUUGAGCACUUCAUACACAAGCCCGUCCCAUGAAUGCUGUGGGCGCUGGAUGGGAAUCAGUCUCAGCCCUUCACAAGCUGCAGUCCCUGCGGGAACCCUUGCUGUGCCACUGCAGAGGAGCCAGCUGUUGCAGAUCCCACCCUGGUGGUCUGUCAUCGCACCUUGCCCCUGGGACGAGGGUCUGCAAGAGGAUGCUGGUGCCCUGAUCCUGACACAAAGAUACAGUCCAAAGAGCUCAUGAGGCAGUCUGCGCUCCUCCUCUGCCUCUCCCAAAAGGAAUGCAGGUCUUGACCACACACAUGGCUGAUACAGGACCUUGACCUUGAACUUUGUGCCUUGGACAUCAGCUUUGUGAGCCUUUAGACAGCCCUUCUGCAGCUGUGUCAGGCCACACACAGUCACAGGUCUCUGCUGGGAGGUGACAGGCACAAAGCUGGCACUGGCUCUGUGAAUACUUCUCUGCAAAGUCAAACAGGCCAAAAAUAAAUGCUAGUGAAAGAAUAAACAGAUGUGGAAAGAAGGCUUGGACACUUGGAAGACAAGACUGCUUUGUGUCUCCCAAAGCCAUAAGCCUGUUCACAAGGAGGUUACUCUUUCAGAAAACCCCAAGUCCUGUGAUGCUGCCCAGGGUUUGAACAUGCACCAGUUCGACAGCAGAAGACAGCUUCCAUCUGUCUCGGAUGUGGCUGUGGUGCUGUGGUUGCAUCCUUUGCAGGCUGACUUGGGAAGCAGGCAGUGCUGCUGCCUUCUGCAGCUGAGGCAGCAGUCCCCUCCAGGUCCCUAGGAGGGCAGAGGUCUGACGAGCUCCUCUCUCCAGCACGGCUGUGCCGUCUCUGCUGGACAGCCCCGCAGCCACCCCGAGCAUGGUGACCAGCCGUGACACAGACAGGAAGGUGUGGAACUGCUUUGUCAUCGCUGCAGGCUCCCUCCUCAGCAAACGCCGUGCUGCACUUCAGCGUAACGCCAGAUGGCUCGUCUGUCACUCGGCAGAAAUGCCAUCAAACAAAUCCUGCCAUAGAUUGCCACAAGCAACCCUCAAGUGCCCCAAACCACUGGGGCAAAGUGAAGCAAUGCCUCACCUGCAAGCACACGUGUCGUGGACAAUCAGCGCCCUGGCACCGUGUCCAGGACACACAGGGACCCCAGACCCGACCAGCACCCAGCAUUCGUGCACCAGCAGCCCGGGGUGCCAAGCUGCCCAGCUGCAGUGGGAGCAGGUCACACCUGCUUGCCCAAUUGCAGGAGCAGUUGCUCUUGAUUUAUUAAUAAAGCUGGGAUUUUAAUUAGCUAAUUACUACUGAUUUCUCAACAGCUUUCAACUUAAGCAAUCUUUGAAAGGAAUCUAUAGGUUUCCUACUAAAAAGGUGCCAAGUAGUUGGCUGGGAAUUUUCAACCCUCAUUUACAAAUCCUCCUGGAAAUCCCAGCCCAACCCAGCACAUCCUUAGGGCAAGGAGCAACACUUUCCUUUUAAUUCAUCAGUAAUGUAAAUUUUGGUGGAAGUGGACUCAAAAAAAACAUAGGCAGAUUCCCACAUGUGCUUCUGCCCUGCUGUUUCCACGAGCGUUCCGUGCAGGGUGCUGGGAUGGGCCCAUCCCCGCCGUGGACCUGCAUGCACCCCUGCAAGCUGGCGAGCGCCUCGAGGGCUUUCCAGGGCCUUUGUAGCACAGCCAGCAACCGAGGACUCUUCAGUGCUAUAUUUCUUUUUGCUUACAUUAAAUAUGUCCUGUCCCUCGGCAAAGGGCACCUUUCCCCGCUCCAGUUACAGGCUAGGAAGAACACGACUGAUGAUUAUCCCUGGGGACCUGUGAGGUGCGAUCCAGCAGGGAUCUCGCAGGGCACAGCUCCCCCUUCCCCUUCCCAGCCUAAGCACUCUGCGGGACUCCCUCGCUCACUGCUGCGCUAGCAUUCAGCUCCAAAACAAUGAGGCUGAGCUGCCACGUUCAGCUGUGCAGAGCAGCAUCUUGUUUGGAGCUGCUGCCGUUCAAACAUGCCAUCUCCAGGGACACGGGCGGCAGGCUGGCGCAGCUGUUUUGCAUGCAAUGGAAAUGCCGAGGUUUGGGGCAGUCAUAAAGGUCCACAAAGUGUAACACAAGGCGACGUCACCCCUUCUAUCAGCAGAUGACACUCCACAGAAGCAGCCAACCUGGCAUCCAAAAAAUUCCUGAGAUCCCCUCAUCACUGCACAGAGCCACACCUUAUUUUCAUUUUGAAUUUCUUCUAAGGCUUGAAAGUCAAAUGAAAGCAAGCAUUAUGCUCCCAUUUGGUAAUAAAACACGAGCCAUGAUUCUGAACCAAAUAUUAUUUGCAUCUUUAAAAAAA